GGUGAGUUUGAAGUGACCUGGGCAAGUUGCGCAACUUGUUGAACAAAUUUAGUGGGUCAUGCAAUAACCCAAAAUGUGCAUCUGGGUCACCAAUUUGAGAAAGUUUAACAUCAGAAAAUCCUAGUGAUGGCAAUAACUCAUCAGGAUAGUCGCUAUAGAAAUGGAAAUUUGAGCUGGACAUUGUUGUUGAUUGCUUGUUCAUGAAGUCUGCUAAGAGUACUGUAUGAGCAGAGGUACACUGCCACUCUGUUCAAUGAUUUUGCCAUCAUCAGUUGGUGCUUUUGUUCAUCUGUUGUUUCUGUUGCUGCCUCUACAAUAGUGGUUUUCAUCUGCAAGACCUCUGGAAAAUCAACCUCAAACAUGUUGCUGUCUUUUAAGCAACUCAAGCGAUAUGCCCUUGUAUCCAUACCUGCAGAAAAAGAACAGACAUCAUUGGUUUGCUCUGUAACAUUUUUUCCUAAAUGGAAUCAACCAGCUUCCGAGGGGUGAGCCAUGGAAAUGCUAGGUGAAAUAUGAGGAGUCUCUUGUGGUAGACAAUCUAUGUCCAUUCAGUGUUCAAUCUCCAUAUUGAGUCCAUAACUCAGUGAAUUAAAUAACAUUCCGCUUAUCAUCUUUUAUCCAAACAGUCAUAGUUGCUCCUAAAUGGAAUGACUGUCUAUUAACUGAAAGACUAUAUGUCACUGGACAAGAUUAGCAUGUUGCAGUUGAUGGCUAGUAUUUCAGGGAUUCAAAGCUGGAAAAUUUUUGCGUCCUGGUAAUGUUUAGUUUAGUAUAUGGAUCUAGGAGGAUGAAAACUUUUGCAGAAUACAACAACAACUAAGCCUCAGUCCCAAGCAAGUUGGGGUCGCAGAACUGGUGUCACAGGGUAUAAACAGCACAAGAGAUCACGUGGGAACAUCACCUACCUGCUCCAAGAAUGACAACUUGUGCUCCUCCACCAUCAAAAGAAGUACGUCUCCCCUGCAAGUAACUCUGCUAGUGGAUCAUGGAUCACAUGUUUCCAUAGCGCCCUUCCUGCUGCAGUUUGACAUGCUGAUUGUCUCAAAGAAUCCCAAUCAUGUUCGACAGCUGAAUGAACUUCUCUGAUGGUUUCAGUGUACAAAGAAUCAG